AAAUAAGAGUACGUAAAGGCGUUUAUGGUUUCCACCGCUAUAGCUUAAAUUGAGUCAUGUGUGGGGUUUUCUUUUCUUUUUAUGUGUUAUUAUUCCUCCUGCUGAAAAAUUCUGUUGAAAGCUCCAGAAAAUGCUAAAUUUUCAGUCAACAGGCUAUACAAGGUAAAUGAGGACAACUGAGCAAUCUCUUUGACAACUGAGCAAACUUCUGAUGAAGACCGAGAGAUGCGGUUGACAGCUCCAGAAAAAGCCAAUAGGAACGUUGGAUUUAAAUCACAUAUAACUAAACAGAAAAG